UCUAGGCGACAUGGCCUCAUUCGAAUGUUCGCGCUGUUUUGAUCCCCAGAUGAUCGUCGCUUGUCCCGAUGUGCACCUGCAGGAGAUCUAGAGUUGAGAGGGAUAGGAAAGGGUCUCAGCGGGGUUUUACAGGCCGCAAUAACGGAACGAUUACAUGAAAAUUGGUUGCUUAGAUUUCAAUGCCACCGGGAUUUACUAGUUCAGAGAAGAUGAAUGCUGGGGCACUCGCAGCUUAAAGUGCAAUUGUCAUCGAUAAAUUUAAUGUAAAUAACUUUUUAAAACUGUCUAUCUGAAUCCGUUGCUUUCGACGAUGCUCGGCAGUAUCCAUGGGUGGGGGUAGGCUGGAGGGUGGUGGAGGGGAAGGGUGCGGUAGGGACAACAACCAGACGACGACGACGCAGGCCUGAACGCUUACGAGAGCUACUAUUUCCAGUCAAACGGGAUGUUUCCGUCUUUAUGUAGUAAAAGAAGCCUAUAUGCCCAAGGAAAAAUUAAUCGUGGAUUCCCUGGAUACGAAGAUGUCGAAUAUAGUUCUCUAGUUUUCUUGUAAAUCGUUCUGUCGCCGCACUGAAACCCCUGUAGGGGUUAUGGUCUCUUUCCUCCCCCACCAUCCCCCACCACCCCGCUCAUCCGCUCAAGCAAGUUGUUGUUUCUCGUAGAAGGCGUGUGCUCGAUUCUUCCAAGCAUCGUCGAAAGAUCGGCUCCUGUGUCCAGUCCCCUAACAGAUGUACGUCUCCUGGCACCUGCCCUAUUAAGAUGCUGUCAAGUAUUGCAACUCGCGUGGAGCGUGGGAAAUGUGCCCCGGAUUGUGUUAAUUCGGUUCCAUUCGAUGAGGUUUAGAACCAUUAGAACCACAAGAUCAUUCCAAUGCUCAAUGUACUCGAUGCAAACAAAAGACUCACCAAUCACACUCUCCAAGUUUCACCUCUCCUUCACUCUCUAGCCGUUUGUCGUGGUGUAACUAGUGUGUCAGCAUAUGGUGGGUCGGAGGGCUGAAAGUUUUGCCCAAUGAUAAACAACUUCUAUCCUCGUAACAUACCAUGAAGGUAGUGCAGUGAUUGUGAAUAAAUUUGUGUCUUAUUGACAA